UAAAAACCAAUAUAAAAUCUUUAACAAGAAAUCAACUAUAUAACUAACAUUCACAAUUGAACUUUGAACCACAUGUCUCUUGAUGCUUUCACCUGGGAAAUAUAAAAAAAAAUAAAUCAGCUUUGUCUUUUUCUGACUGCCUUUAUUUAGUUAAAGGAACAGAUUUCAGGCCUGAUAUUAUAUCACAGACAGCAGAUAUUAUAUAAAUGGGUGCUAAUCCUGGUAUGUUACAUAUUGCAUGGAUGGGAUAAAAAGGUGCUUAGAGGGACCUUGUGAGAAGUUUCUUUAAAAAAGGCUUUUGGGAACUUGUAAUAGAAGAAAGUUGGAACCCAGGAUUUCUCCUGAACUGGAUCCACAUUCUCAGAGUCUGACCCACAGUUGGAUUAAUAAUCAGUCUGUUGGCAUGUAGAGAGAGAGUUGACCCUCGCAGUGCCGGGAGCGAGAUAUUUCGAGAAGACUUCAAUCUGAUUUGUGGCCCCCUGCUGCGUGUAAUCCCCUCUCUCUCUCCCCACCUUUCCUGUCAAUCUUCAGUCCCGUCCUUGCCAAUAAAAGGCUUAAAGCUCCCCAAAAAUAUAUAUCUAACAAAAGGUUUUUGUGUUUGUUUGGCUCACACACCAAGAAAGGUAAACUGAUUAGUAUGUCUGAGUAUUAUUAUUUCUAGCUCACUCUUGUGUAAUUUCAACUAAGAUUUAAAUUGAUUUAUAAAUGUGACAUUCAUAUUGAUGGUUGCAUCAUUUAUUAUUUAUUCAAAUUUGGUUCCUGAUGCAAAGGUGUUGUAAGUAUUCUGUUUAAAACCACAAGCAAUCAUAACAUUUCUGUUUAAUUUCUCUCUGACGUCUUUCUGAUAAUGUAAAGCAGCGUUGUUGCUUCCUCUUCUUCCAUGCAUGUGGUUGGUUCGCAGUGAGUAUAUUAUGACCUGUGUGUGUUUCAAACUCUUCACUUCAUCAACCAUGAACAAAGGUGUUCUGCUGGUCCUGUUGUGUCUGCAGGUUUUCCUACUCAUCACUGCCUUCACUUCUACUGACGCAGCCGCUCUGGUGACAGAUGAUGGACUUCCUCCUGAUCAGGAUGGAACUGCAGAGAAAGGAAUGAAGAAGACAUUUCGGAGCUGUAGGGGAAGAAUAGGAGGAUGUGGUCUUUUCAUACGGCCUGCUAAGAAUCCCAAACCCAGAUUACAUGUUAAGAAAACGGACAGCGCGUCGACAUGAUGAAAACUCACUCGUGCAAAAACAGAAGUUUGAAACAAGCUUUUCCAGAACUGCAACACUAUGUGACGGAGUGGAAAUGAAUAUCUACUGUAUGCUGUAGUGCUUAUCAACUGUGCAUUAAUGUGUUUAUUUGCUAAAUAAACAUAUUUUUUUACCAUGAUGGGUUUUCUGUAUGGUUAAUGGUUAAUAUCUGUUAAAUGUAUGUAUUUUUAACAAGUUAAUACUUCAUUUUAAUGUUGGCUGACUCUGUGAACGCUGACUCGAAGCAUGAGGCAAGAAUGACGUAUUUUCACAGAACCAAGUUGUUUCCUCUCGUUUCCAGUCUUUAUGUCAAGCUAAGCUAAUGUCUCCUAGUUGUAACUUAAUGUUUACUGUACGGACACAAGAGUGGUGUCAAUCUUCUCAUCUAACUUGCAGCUAAAAUUAAAUAAAUAGGUACAGUGGCCGUCAAGGGCAAACGGCCGCAAACGGCAAAACGCUGCAAACACGGGAAUGAUGCAAAACCAAAAACACACAAACACAUAAAAACAAAUGCAACAGAAAAACGCAGCAACAGAAAAAUGCUCCAAUCACAGAAACGAAGCAGAAGCAAAAACUUACAAACCCACAAAAGAACUGCCAAAGAAAAAUGCUGCAAAUACCAAAAACACACAAAACAACAAAACAACUCCAACAGAUAAAUGCUGCAAAUUCACUCGACAAAACAGAAGUGCGCCAGGCCACUAGGGGGACCCGACCUGAGGGAUGGAACAGUCCUGUGGGACCAGACCCGAAAGACAUGAAGAAGAAGAAGAAAGUUGGCUAAGUUUUUGAGAGGAGAGUAAAAAGAUAAGUUUCCGUUAUGUCUUUUUAACGCUUCCUCAUUAUUGUCCUAUAGAAGUGAUUGAUAAUGCAACAACA
rnacentral:lncRNA from 15 species